GGCCCGAGGCCAGGAGAGGGAGUAGCCAGGCCAGGGGAUGGAAGAUGGAUGGGUUGGCCGGGCUCCAGGGCAGGUGUGAUUGUCCCUCCGCCAUUUGGCACCUCCCUUCUGCUGCAGAUAGAGCUGGCUCCUGCUGUUCCCCAGGCGUCUGCCUGGGCGUCCCUCACUGUCCCCACCCCAGCCCGCACCCCACUUCCCAUGCUCUCCUGUAGCUCUGAGCCUGGCUGCUGCGCUCAGACUUCCUGUAUAAACCUGCACGGAAUGGCUGAGACCUGCCGGGUCCAACUCUAGUUUCAUACUCUGGAGAUGCACGGGCCCCGCUGGCGCACGCUGGGUUGGUUCUUGGUGAGGCAGAAACUCCCAGGAAGGGAAGCGGCUCUGAGAAGCCCAGGCCUGACCUCCCUGGUCACUCGCGGGAGGAGAGUGGACUGCGCCCGCUCCCCGCACCCUGGCACUGGGCUGGGACCGGCCCUCGAGUGGCACCAGUGGCCUCAUCUCCUCUCAGGCUUCUCCUGCUCAGUAAAUGCAGCCGAUGAAACAGAGGACAAAAGUCGGAAAAUCCCGAUGGGCUGAGACAGCCUGGCUGCCUCCUUCUCGGGAGAGGUGGCCUUCGUGGGGCCUAAGCAGGUGGCUUCCUGGCCCCGACAUCUGGUCUGUGUGGCCAGGACCCGUGGGGGCGGGCGGCAUUUGUGCCCAUUGCUCGUGGGUCAGCUGAGGCGGGGAUAGCCGGGCCCAAAGCACGCAGCUGGGAAGCGCCAGCCUGGGCUCAGCGGGUGGCCCCAGCUCUGCAGCCACGGCCCAGGGGAGAGGUGGCAGCACCGGGCAGGAGAGUGACAGGGUCAUGUCUCUUUCACCUAAUUUGCCCCUGGUGGCAUUGCACGUGGCUGUGGCCACUGUCACAACCACGGCCCUGAUGCCAACCACUCCCCUCUCCCUGCCACUGCACUCCACAUCUGAUCUUUCCGGCCCAGGUGUCCAUCCCACAAGGCGACAGGUGUCCAGGUGUCCAGCGCCUGUGUCCAGGGGCCGGGCUGCAAGCAGAGGAGUGACCAGGUGUUGGAAAUCAACUGUGAGCCUGUCGCUGUGAGUGGAAAUGAGGGAGACAGAAUCCAGAGAGAGAAGGCACCUCUGCCAGGGCACAGCAGCUAGGCGGGAGCUCCGGAGGACGCACUUCUCAAGCCCACCUAGGAGUUCGUUUGUGCUUCUUGAAGCCACCCCAACUGUCAGGCACUUGAGUUGUUGCUGAAAUAAAUAAUGUUGCAGACCAAGUCCUUUAACGUAAACCUGCAUGAACCUGCCGUUUAUUUCCUCCAGUAAAUUCCAAAUAGAGGAGCUAGAGAGAGAUCAAAGGGUGUGGACACUUUCCAAACCCCUGGCAUCGAUCACUGGCCAGCCGGGGAAGGGUGUAAAUUCAGUGGUCUCUGUAGGCGAUGCAGCAUGGACGAGGGCUUGUUGCUCUCUGCAUUUGCAAACACCGGG
rnacentral:lncRNA from 1 species